rnacentral:sRNA from 1 species
UACAACAAUAUAAUAAUAAUGGUCCUCUUCUUGAGUGCCAUUUGACUUCUUCUUCUUCUUCUUCUUCUUCUACCUUCAGUUCAUACAGUACAUGUCUUGUGGGCUUUGCUUCCCUCCAUCCAGCAGCUAUACGCAAACACAUGGAGCUGUUGAAGUGACUGUGUGGAAUGCCCUUGCGGUCUGAGACAUAUCUACAGCCCCCUGAAUAUUUGAAAAAUGCAAUGCACGUACCUACCUAGCUCCUCAUCUUAUGUAUUUCUUUUUAAAAAAUUUCUGAUAGUCAUGUGGCAAUAUCAUAGCAUUCUACUUCGAUUGACUUGUUUACUAUUUCAUUUCCGUAUCCAACGGUGAGAGACGGCCGGGCUUGGAAAGAUGCAUACUUUUCCAAGCUACAGUUGCAGCUUGUUCCCGUAGUUGAUAUGCAUGUCAGCACAAAUUCUAACAAAUUCUACCUCAAUCCUUCUUAACCUGC